CACGUAGGCGGGUCGUUAAGUCGGGGGUGAAAUCCCAGAGCUCAACUCUGGAACUGCCUUCGAUACUGGCGAUCUUCGAGUCCGGGAGAGGUGAGUGGAACUCCGAGUGUAGAGGUGAAAUUCGUAGAUAUUCGGAAGAACACCAGUGGCGAAGGCGGCUCACUGGCCCGGUACUGGCGCUGAGGUGCGAAAGCGUGGGGAGCAAACA
rnacentral:rRNA from 1 species